rnacentral:misc_RNA from 1 species
UCUUCUUCCGGUGAAGGCCGCGCCGUGAUGAUCCGCAAGUCCCGAUAAACCUGCAUGGAAUCGGUAUUGAUGACGACGCCGCCGGUCGCUUCCGCAAGAGCGAGCGCCAGCGCCGACUUGNNNNNNNNNUCGGCCCUGCGAUAAGCACGGCCUUGGUGUCACCCUUUCCGUCUAUGCCAUCUUUCAACAUCGAGCCGUCAUGUCUCUCGUCGCCACGCUGAUCAGC